rnacentral:rRNA from 1 species
UAGGGAAUCUUCGGCAAUGGGGGGAACCCUGACCGAGCAACGCCGCGUGAGCGAAGAAGGUUUUCGGAUCGUAAAGCUCUGUUGUUAAGGAAGAACGAGUGUGAGAAUGGAAAGUUCAUGCUGUGACGGUACUUAACCAGAAAGGGACGGCUAACUACGUGCCAGCAGCCGCGGUAAUACGUAGGUCCCGAGCGUUGUCCGGAUUUAUUGGGCGUAAAGCGAGCGCAGGCGGUUAGAAAAGUCUGAAGUGAAAGGCAGUGGCUCAACCAUUGUAGGCUUUGGAAACUGUUUAACUUGAGUGCAGAAGGGGAGAGUGGAAUUCCAUGUGUAGCGGUGAAAUGCGUAGAUAUAUGGAGGAACACCGGUGGCGAAAGCGGCUCUCUGGUCUGUAACUGACGCUGAGGCUCGAAAGCGUGGGGAGCGAACAGG